GAAGAACUCAUAAGCAAUGUAGACCAGAGUUUGAUAAUUGGUCAGAGAAGUCUUCGCAACGUAUGCACACUUAGAAUCUGAGGCUCAUGAUGUCAUCAGAACGUCACUGGAAUGAUUGGGAUGCCACACGCUCCGGCGCCGAAGGAUGUGGCUGUGGACGAAUAGGUAGACGGUGGGGUAACGGCCCACCGUGCCAAUAAUCGGUAUGGGUCAUGAGAGUGAGAACCCAGAGACGGAAUCUGAGACAAGAUUCCGGGCCCUACGGGGCGCAUCAGGCGCGAAACCUUUACACUGCACGACAGUGCGAUAGGGGGAUCCCAAGUGCACAGGCAUAGCGCCUGUGCUUUUCGGUACCCUAAGGCGGUACCAGAAUAAGGGCUGGGCAAUGACCGGUGCCAGGCCGCCGCGGUAAUUAUCGGCAGCCCAAGUGAUUGUCGAUCUUAUUGGGCCUAAAGCGUCCGUAUCUGGGCGCCGCAAGUUCCAAUCGGGGAAAUCCACCUGCUUAAAGAGGUGGGCGCCCGGUAAAAACU
rnacentral:rRNA from 1 species